rnacentral:rRNA from 1 species
GUGCAGCAGUCGCGAAUUUUUCUCAAUGGGGGAAACCCUGAAGGAGCGACGCCGCGUGGAGGAUGAAGGCUUUCGGGUUGUAAACUCCUGUCAUUUGAGAACAAGUGGCCGAACGUAACUACUUCGGCCUUGAUAGUAUCAGAAGAGGAAGGGACGGCUAACUCUGUGCCAGCAGCCGCGGUAGUACAGAGGUCUCAAGCGUUGUUCGGAUUCAUUGGGCGUAAAGGGUGCGUAGGUGGCGCCGUAAGUCGGGUGUGAAAUUUCGGAGCUUAACUCCGAAACUGCAUUCGAUACUGCGGUGCUUGAGGACUGGAGAGGAGACUGGAAUUUACGGUGUAGCAGUGAAAUGCGUAGAGAUCGUAAGGAAGACCAGUGGCGAAGGCGGGUCUCUGGACAGUUCCUGACACUGAGGCACGAAGGCCAGGGGAGCAAACGGGAUUAGAUACCCCGGUAGU